UGAGUAACACGUGGGUGAUCUGCCCUGCACUUUGGGAUAAGCCUGGGAAACUGGGUCUAAUACCGAAUAGGACUCCGGACUUCAUGGUCUGGGGUGGAAAGCUUUUGCGGUGUGGGAUGGGCCCGCGGCCUAUCAGCUUGUUGGUGGGGUGAUGGCCUACCAAGGCGACGACGGGUAGCCGGCCUGAGAGGGUGACCGGCCACACUGGGACUGAGAUACGGCCCAGACUCCUACGGGAGGCAGCAGUGGGGAAUAUUGCACAAUGGGCGCAAGCCUGAUGCAGCGACGCCGCGUGAGGGAUGACGGCCUUUCGGGUUGUAAACCUCUUUCAGCACAGACGAAGCGCGAGUGACGGUAUGUGCAGAAGAAGGACCGGCCAACUACGUGCCAGCAGCCGCGGUAAUACGUAGGGUCCGAGCGUUGUCCGGAAUUACUGGGCGUAAAGAGCUCGUAGGUGGUUUGUCGCGUUGUUCGUGAAAACUCACAGCUUAACUGUGGGCGUGCGGGCGAUACGGGCAGACUGGAGUACUGCAGGGGAGACUGGAAUUCCUGGUGUAGCGGUGGAAUGCGCAGAUAUCAGGAGGAACACCGGUGGCGAAGGCGGGUCUCUGGGCAGUAACUGACGCUGAGGAGCGAAAGCGUGGGGAGCGAACAGGAUUAGAUACCCUGGUAGUCCACGCCGUAAACGGUGGGUACUAGGUGUGGGUUUCCUUCCUUGGGAUCCGUGCCGUAGCUAACGCAUUAAGUACCCCGCCUGGGGAGUACGGCCGCAAGGCUAAAACUCAAAGGAAUUGACGGGGGCCCGCACAAGCGGCGGAGCAUGUGGAUUAAUUCGAUGCAACGCGAAGAACCUUACCUGGGUUUGACAUGCACAGGACGCCGGCAGAGAUGUCGGUUCCCUUGUGGCCUGUGUGCAGGUGGUGCAUGGCUGUCGUCAGCUCGUGUCGUGAGAUGUUGGGUUAAGUCCCGCAACGAGCGCAACCCUUGUCUCAUGUUGCCAGCACGUUAUGGUGGGGACUCGUGAGAGACUGCCGGGGUCAACUCGGAGGAAGGUGGGGAUGACGUCAAGUCAUCAUGCCCCUUAUGUCCAGGGCUUCACACAUGCUACAAUGGCCGGUACAAAGGGCUGCGAUGCCGUGAGGUGGAGCGAAUCCUUUCAAAGCCGGUCUCAGUUCGGAUGGGGGUCUGCAACUCGACCCCGUGAAGUCGGAGUCGCUAGUAAUCCCAGAUCAGCAACGCUGCGGUGAAUACGUUCCCGGGCCUUGUACACACCGCCCGUCACGUCAUGAAAGUCGGUAACACCCGAAGCCGG
rnacentral:rRNA from 1 species